GAAAGCAAAAGAGGAGACCGUUUGAUGGGAAGAUCCAGGAAGUUUCAUUCAAGCUCAGGAUUGGGUACGACUCAGCAGGGGGAGGCAGGGAAUAGAGAAACCAGGAUUCCAACUGUCUGCAGGGGAGAAUGCCAGUAAGAACAAAGAUAGCUCCUAUCACAAGCCCCACCACCUUUGAAGGCUGGAGUGUGAUGUGGAGUUGAUAACAG
rnacentral:lncRNA from 1 species